UACGUGGGACCCAAGCGUUAUCCGGAAUUACUGGGCGUAAAGAGUUGCGUAGGUGGCAAAGUAAGCAGGGUGUGAAAGCGUGCGGCUCAACCGCAUAGACAUAUUCUGAACUGCUUAGCUAGAGAACGAGAGAGGUACCUGGAAUUCCUAGUGUAGGAGUGAAAUCCGUAGAUAUUAGGAGGAACACCGAUGGCGUAGGCAGGGUACUGGCUUGUUUCUGACACUAAGGCACGAAAGCGUGGGGAGCGAACGGG
rnacentral:rRNA from 1 species